ACCUCAUGAUUUGGGCAUUGGGCUAGCUUUCAAUUAAAUCUCUCCCAUGCUUCAAAUAAUGGUUCUCUAUUACAUUGUCUGAAGUU
rnacentral:snoRNA from 1 species